rnacentral:rRNA from 1 species
UUAUGGCCACAUCACGUUGAAAACUGGUUUUCGUACGAUCACCGAAGUUAAGCAACAUCGAGCCUGGUCAGUACCUAGAUAGGUGAUCGCUUUGAAAUGCCAGGUGCU